rnacentral:rRNA from 1 species
AUUGAACGCUGGCGGCAGGCCUAACACAUGCAAGUCGAGCGAGCGGCGGACGGGUGAGUAAUGUAUGGGGACUGCCCGAUAGAGGGGGAUAACUACUGGAAACGGUGUCUAAUACCGCAUACUGUAGGAUAACCCAUAUGGGAUUAGCUCGUAGGUAAGGUAAUGGCUUACAUAGGCGACGAGCCCUAGCGGGUUUGAGAGGAUGACCAGCAACACUGGGACUGAGACACGGCCCAGACUCCUACGGAGGCAGCAGUGGGGAAUAUUGCACAAUGGGCGCAAGCCUGAUGCAGCCAUGCCGCGUGUAUGAAGAAGGCCCUAGGGUUGUAAAGUACUUUCAGUCGGGAGGCGUUACCGACAGAAGAAGCACCGGCUAACUCCGUGCCAGCAGCCGCGGUAAUUC